GACGAACGCUGGCGGCGUGCCUAAUACAUGCAAGUAGAACGCUGAAGCGAGGAGCUUGCUCUUCUUGGAUGAGUUGCGAACGGGUGAGUAACGCGUAGGUAACCUGCCUUGUAGCGGGGGAUAACUAUUGGAAACGAUAGCUAAUACCGCAUAACAAUGGAUGACACAUGUCAUUUAUUUGAAAGGGGCAAUUGCUCCACUACAAGAUGGACCUGCGUUGUAUUAGCUAGUAGGUGAGGUAAUGGCUCACCUAGGCGACGAUACAUAGCCGACCUGAGAGGGUGAUCGGCCACACUGGGACUGGGACACGGCCCAGACUCCUACGGGAGGCAGCAGUAGGGAAGCUUCGGCAAUGGGGGCAACCCUGACCGAGCAACGCCGCGUGAGUGAAGAAGGGUUUCGGAUCGUAAAGCUCUGUUGUAAGUCAAGAACGGGUGUGAGAGUGGAAAGUUCACACUGUGACGGUAGCUGACCAGAAAGGGACGGCUAACUACGUG
rnacentral:rRNA from 1 species